rnacentral:lncRNA from 1 species
GGUCUAAAUCUGGAUUCCAUUUAAGACAACAAGAUGCUCAAAGUCUAGAGCACACUGAAAGAGGUGCAUCUUAGAGAGGGAGUCUAAUAACUACACUGUCAUCUUGGAAGAAAACGAAAAUUACUUUUUUGUGAGAAAUACGUUUGUAAUGGUCCAGAUCUCCUACUAAACAUUUGACAAAUACAUGUAAGUAGCUAUGCCUAAGUUGUAUUAGACAAUAAUGCCGAUUCUAUUAAAAGGUGAUUAAAGGAA